AUUGAACGCUGGCGGCAGGCCUAACACAUGCAAGUCGAACGAGUGGCGGACGGGUGAGUAAUGUCUGGGAAACUGCCUGAUGGAGGGGGAUAACUACUGGAAACGGUAGCUAAUACCGCAUACCAUCAGAUGUGCCCAGAUGGGAUUAGCUGGUAGGUGGGGUAACGGCUCACCUAGGCGACGAUCCCUAGCUGGUCUGAGAGGAUGACCAGCCACACUGGAACUGAGACACGGUCCAGAAUCCUACGGUAGGAAGCAGUGGGGAAUAUUGCACAAUGGGCGCAAGCCUGAUGCAGCCAGGCCGCGUGUGUGAAGAAGGCCUUCGGGUUGUAAAGCACUUUCAGCGGGGAGGCGUUACCCGCAGAAGAAGCACCGGCUAACUCCGUGCCAGCAGCCGCGGUAAUAC
rnacentral:rRNA from 1 species